ensembl:lncRNA
AAUAAAAUACUAGAAUAUUACCAUAUGAAAAAAAAUACACAAAUUUUUAUAUACCCUACUAAAGGAAUAAUUCGAAACAAUUCGUAUAUGGAUAUUCGAAUAUUUUUUGAACCUUCUUAUAUAUUUAAAAAUGCCAAAGUAUGUGUAGAGAUUUUUAUUUAUCAUUCUAGUAUUAUCAAAACUAUGUACAUUUAUUUAAAUAGUGUAAAAGAUAAUAUCCAGAUUGACCCUUGUAAUAUUAUUGUUGAACCACUUUUACUUAAUAGUACGGAAGUAUAUAAGACAAUAAAAAUUAGCAAUUACAAUAAUUAUUCGAAACAUUUGUAUAUAUACAAAUUAGAUAAACAUUAUGAUUACUUCGAAAGUUUUAUAUAUGAUAUUUUAUUUAUUUAUAAACAUAUCUAUGUUGAAAAAAAUGACGACCAACAGUUGUUUUAUACUAAUUUGAUAUAUUUCUUGAUAAAUUUGUAUAAAAAUGGGAUAGAACAGCUGAGAAAUGACAUACAAAAAGACCUCCAAAACAAUCAACAAAAUAAAGUAACAGAAGCAAAUACAAUGAAUGAUGAAAAUAACUGUACGAAUACGGCGGUAAAUUUAUAUAACCCUGGUGAAAUAUAUGCACAAGAAAAAGCUAAAAAUAUAAAAAUUUAUGAAAAUAAAAUCAGUAUAUUAGAGGAACUAUUAACUCAAAAUAAAACAAAAUAUAAUUAUUUAGAAGAAUAUUUAAAAAUAAUAAAAAUAAAAAAAAAAAAAAUUAAAGAUAAUUAUAUAGUAAUAUGUCCAAAAUAUAUUAAUUAUAAAAAAAUUGGUAAUUAUUUAUUUACAAACAAUUUUUUAAAUUUAAAAAAAAACGUCAAAAAAGUAAAGAACGUGAAAAGAUGUGAUAAUGGUACUGAUAACAUUUUAACCAUAAGUAAAAUAAUUACUUGGUGUAAUAAAAUGAAAGAAAAGGAGGACUACCCAGAUGAUGUAAAAACAGACUUUAUUCAUUUUGUGGUUCAUGAAAAGGGUAGAAACAAUAUGAUUGGUGGGUGUAGUAACGAUAGUAGUAGUAGUAGUAGUACUAGUGCCACUGGUGAUACAACAAAUUUGAACGACAUAAGCGAACGUACCAAAGCUGAGAAAAAACAAAACAUGUGUACAAAACGUAAAAACCAGGGAAAUAUAGACGACUACAUUAGUGAAAAAUUAAACUUGAGAGAAAAAAACAAAAAAGUGAAACAUGAAUUAGGUCGAUUAGAACGAAAUGACCUUUUUGAUAAUGAAAAAAAAAACAAUCAAUAUAUAAAAAAUAUGGCACACAUGGGACAUGUAAAUAAACAAGAGAACUGCAAUACUAACUGUGCUGAUGAUAACAUAGUUAGCAAAAAGAGAGAUAUUAAUAGCAACAUCAGAAAGAAUGAUUUGAUAAAUACAUAUAAAAAUCGAAUUAAAAAUACUUUAAAUUUACGUAAUUUAAAUGGAAAAAUAGAUAAUAAACGUAUAUUAUUAUCACCAUCAUCAUCACCAUCAUCAUCAUUGUCGGAUAUUAUUACAAAAGGAAAUAAACAUACCAAAGGUACUAGUGGUAAGAAAAAGAAACGUAAAAGUAACAAUAGUUGUUUCUUUAAUGAGCGUUUUUUUUUUAAUAAAUAUAAUUUAAAACAUAAAUUUGAAUAUAUAAACUAUUUUUAUGAGUUUGCACUUUUAAAUGAUAGUGAAUUUAUGCAUGACAUGAAACAUUUUUUAAAAUUGAUACAGUCAGAUGAUAAAAUAAAAAAUAGAAAUGAACAUUUAACUAAAAAAAAAAAUAAUUUUUGUAACUUAUUUGAAAAUGUACUGAAAAAAAUACUACUUUCACCAUUUUAUUUGAAUGGUGUUAUAUUUUUCUUUAAAAAAAAUGUUUACAUAGAUGCAGAUAUUUUUUUUAAUACGUUUAUCAAAAACAGUUUGGAUGAAAAUGUUCAUAUAAUCUAUUUCAAUCUGAUUGAAAGUUAUGAUGAAUUUUUUUUGCUUGACAGACUGAACGGACAAGUUGAGACGAACUUUUUAUCAGGAGAGAGAGGUGGUGGUAAUGAUGAUGUAAAAAGUGUGGAUGGGGAGGAUAUAGUAGGGGAUGAAAAGGGUGUCAAGGGGAGAGAAAAAAAAAAUGACAGGGAGAGUGAUAGAAAGGGUAGCAAGGAGUGUGACAAGGAGGGUGAAAAAAAGGGUGACAAAAAGAGUGACAAAAAGAGUGACAAAAAGAGUGACAAAAAGAGUGACAAAAAGAGUGACAAAAAGAGUGACAAAAAGGGUGACAAAAAGAGUGACAAAAAGGGUGACAAAAAGAGUGACAAAAAAGGCGACAGCAGAGGAAAAAACAAAGAGAACAAGAGAAAAAAAGAAGCUGACAAAAGCGAUGACAAAAGCGACGACAAAAGGGACGACAAAAGCGACGACAAAAGGGACGACAAAAGCGACGACAAAAGGGACGACAAAAGCGACGACAAAAGCGACGACAAAAACGACGACAAAAGCGACGACAAAAGCGACGACAAAAGCGACGACAAAAACGAAGACAGAGAACGUGUCGAUAAAAAUAAAAAAAAAUCAGGUGAAAAAAAAACAUGUGAAUUAGUUGAUGUAGAAAAAAUUCGAUAUUUUUAUGAAAACUUAUCAAAAAAAUAUCAAGAAAAAAUUGAAGAAAAGUUAAAAGAAAAAGAACAAAUUGAAAGUAUUAUAAUAUCAUUAAAUUUUGAGUUAAAUAGUAAGUAUAAUGAAUGUAAUAUCGAAUUAAUUGAUUAUGUUGCUAAUAAUGAAACAAAUGUUAGUAAUGUUAAAAUAAAGGAUAGUACAGAAUUAUUGGAUGAACAAGAAGUAGAAGACAGUGGAAAUUCAUUGCCAUUGAAUGACUUAAUAACCAUAUGUACAAUAAAAGAACCGCUUUUAGAAGACAAUAUUAGUGAUAAUAACUAUAAUAAGAAUGUUAUCAUUAAUGACUAUAAGUGUAACAGUAGUAGAUACCAGUAUAGUCACCCUAUAAACGAAUUAUACAAAGCAAUUGUUAUUAAUCAGAAAAAAAAAAAAUUAACUAAACAAAUAACCAAAGAAUUACUUUCUCACUGUUUUAACAUAAAUCAACGUAUUGAUAAUAAAAUUGUUAAAUAUAAUAAAAAGAUAAAUAAAAUAAAUACAUAUAUUAGCAGUAGUAAUUACAAAGAAUAUGUACCAUUUUAUAAAGCAUUAAAAAUUACUUUGAACAAUUUGUUAAAAGAGUGUUCAGAAAAAGAAGUAGGUCCUCGGUCAAGCACUUUGGAAGCUGUCAAAUCGGAAAACGUUGAAAGUAGUACACAAAAUAGUGCACAAAAUAGUGCACAAAUUAGGAAUAGUAACGAAAGUUAUAAUAAUGAAAGUAAUAAUAAUAAUAAUAAUGAUAAUGAUAAAAAAAAAAAUACGUUUUUAAAAAAAAUUAGCAUACAACUUAGUGACAAUUUUGUUGAGUGUAUAGACCCAAAUGAAAUAGAUUUAUUAAAGGUAGAUGAUAAUGCUAAUACAAACAAAACAGAUAAUUUGUUAAUAGAGGGGAAACAUAUAUUUGGUGAGAGCAAUGGGCCACAAAAAAGAGACAACAGUAAAAUAAAGUUAAAUGAAAAAGGAAACAAAAAUAAAACAACCAGGUUAUAUGGUAAAAAGGGAUUGGGUGAUAAAAAUGUAGUAAACGUCGGGGAUGUUACUACCAAUGCAAAUGCAAAUGCAAAUGUAAAUGCUAUUAGUAAUAAACUAAGCUUAAGCAAGAACCAAUUAUCGGGAGCCAACACAGAUGUUAUAAAAAUAACAGAUAAUUCAUUAAAAACAAUUAUGGAUAAUAAUGAUGAAUUAAUGAAGUAUUUGCAACAAAGUACCGUAGAAAUUAGUUUUUUAUAUUUUUUUAUCAACGAAAGAAUAUAUUUUAAAAAAAAUAAAUUUCUUGAUGAAAUGGUUACUUUUGUUAAAGAUAAAUAUAAGGAUAUAAAAACGAGUGCCUAUUUUUUUGAUAUACCAGACUCAAAAUGUUAUGACACUUUUAAUUUAAAAGCUUAUAUUCAAUCAACAAAAGACUUGAAAAACAAUUCCACUCUUUUUGGUGUUGACCAGAAGGAGCAAGAGAAUAAAAAAAAUAAUAUCAUAAAAACCAGAGAUGGGGAAAUAACACAAGAAGAUAAAGACAUAAAAGGGGAAUACUCCUCAACUGGGGCGUCAAUUAUGAAAAACAAAUUUCAAAAUGUUGAUAAAGCGUUAAAAGAUAUUGAACCUAUUGUUACUGGCGAUGCUACUGAUGCUACUCAUGACAUAACGAGUGAUAUUAACACUGACGCGACAAGUGACAUUUUAAGUGAUGCGGAAAAUAAUAUAAACACCGGAGAAGGAAAAGGGUACAAAAGCAAACACAAAAAGAAGCAGGACAAAAGUGAAAACGAAAAAGGAAUUAAUAAAUAUGAAAAAAAAUAUAAAAAGCAUAAAAAAAAAGAAGGUCAAGAAGAAGAAGAGAAGCAAGAAAAUCUGCAAGAAACAAAGGACAAAAAAGAAAUAAAGAAAUACAGGAAAGAUAAGAAAGGUAAGAAAGAUAAGGAAGAAAUAGAAGAGAAAGGAGAUAAAAAAAGUAAGAAAUAUAAGGAAGAAAUAGAAGAGAAAGGAGAUAAAAAAAGUAAGAAAGAAAGGGAAGAAAUGGAAGAGAAAGGAGAUAAAAAAAGUAAAAAAUAUAAGGAAGAAAUGGAAGAGAAAGAAGAUAAAAAAAGUAAGAAAAAUAAACACAAAAAAUCAAAACAUGAAAAAAGUGAAAAAGAACAAGGUAAGAAAGGGAUUGAUCAAGAAAUGGGUGCAGACAUGGCAACGGACACAGUAGAAGACAAAGAACAUGAAAUACCAAAAGAUAAAAUAGACCAAUCUUCCGAAGUAAUCGAAGCCAAGCAGGCUGAAGCGAAGGAAAUACAAAGUAUAAAAGAACCUAAAAAGAAUAAAACAAAAAAGAAACAUUUAAGUGGUAAUGCCGAUUUAAAUAAACAAUCAUCAUAUCACGAUGAAUUAAAAAAAAUAAAAUAUGACAUACAAAAUGAAUAUGAUUAUAUGUUUUAUACAAUGAUGAAUAAUGUGCACAAUACAACAGAGUUAAAAGAUAAUUUAACAGUUAGUAAAAACGAACACAUUGUUGAGUUUUUACCAAUAGAUAUAUCACAUGAUAUAAAUGAUGAAUCAAGAUAUAAUAAUAUUAGUAAUAUUAUGUUAGAAAAGAAUAAUUCUAUUAAAUUAAAUAUAAAAAUUAAUACUUUUAAAAUUGUUGAUAUAAAAAAAAAAAUAUGCUUUGUUGAUAUAUUAGGUAAUUAUUUUUGUAUAAAUAUACAUAUAUUAAUUGAUAAACCUAGAAUAUAUUCGAACCCUUAUUUUCUUUUCAAUAACAACGUUUCUGUUUGUUGUAUUGGUAAAAAUAAGUGUUUUGUUUUAUCUAAAAAUGUAUAUACUUUUGAUAGAGUUCUCAUAGGGAAAGAUUUAUUUAUGCUUAAGGACAUUAUACAAAAUGAGCUGAAUGAAGAAAGUAAUGAAGGUUUAAAUGAUUUAUUAAAAAAUUUUAAACUUUAUCAUAAUUCAUUAAAAAUUCAAGCAGCAAAUAAAUAUAAACAAGAUAAAAAAAGAAAAAAAUAUGAGGUUGUUAAAAAAGAAAUACACACUGUUGAAAAGAAUAAAAAUGAAUGGAAAGAUAUUAAUAAAAAUUUAUAUAGACAUUUACAAAUUAUAAAUUUAUAUAACUAUUCUCAUUUUGAUUGUUUUGUCGAGUUUGCGUUUGAGAAUGAACUGGGAGGGGGGAAUACUGGUACUACUAUUAUAAAUAAUGCCAAUACCGAUGAAAGUUCUGUACAUAAUGACAUUUUCAAUAAAACUACAUUGUUCGAUAAUAUGGCAGUAUUUGAUAAUGGGAUGUUAUUAAGCGAUACUAGACAGGUUAAUGAUAUAGUCACAUCAAAAGGUACGGACAAAUUAGCAGGUACGGACACAUUAACAGGUACGGACAAAUUAGCAGGUACGGACAAAUUAGCAGGUACGGAUACAUUAACAGGUACGGACACAUUAACAGGUACGGACACAGGUACAGGUGCGGAUACUUAUACAGGCACGGACACAUUAACAGGUACAAACACAUAUAAUAGUACCACCGUAAUUUCCGGCGCAAGCGUGUUUAGAGAUAAAAAGAGUAGUGGUAAUUUUUCAAUGUAUAAAGACUUUUUUGUAUAUCCCAACGAAUUUGUUAUCCCUUCGAUGAAAUGUAAAAAAGUAAUAAUUUUAUUUUUACCAAAAUGCAAGUGUUUCGUUUUUUCAAGACUAUUAUUAUCCAUAUAUUCAACAAGUAGCGAAAUAAAUAAUAAAAUUUGUAUGAUAAAUUCACUAAAUAAUAAAGACAACAUUACUUUUUCUGAAAACAAUACUUUUAUUAGUAGUAGUAGAAAUAGUAGUGGAAAUAGUAGUGAGAAUAUAAAACUUUUGAACAGCAAAAUUUACAAAAAUACAUAUGGAAGUAUAUACGAUGUAUUUUGUUUCAAUUUACACGGAGAGGGAAUAAAGUGUGGUUUGAAAAUUAACACAAGUAAUUUAGAUUUUCAUAAGAUACUUUUAAAUUCUGUUCAUAAAAAAAAAAUUGAAAUAAGAAAUGAUAACUAUUGUGAUUUGUUUUGGUAUAUCGAGUCAAAGGAUUUAAAAGAGGAAAACAAUACUAUUUUACAAAUAACACCAUCAAAAGGUAUUUUACUUAAAAAUGAAAAAAAAGUGUUAACAAUAAUUGUUAAUACUGAUAAUAUACGUACUAUAAAAAAAGAAAUUAAGAUAUAUUUUUAUGAACAUGUAUCACAAAAAAAAGAUGAUGCAAAUUUGAGAAAUCGAAAAAGGAACAACGACAGUAGUAAAAAAACGAAUUAUUUAUUACAGUUUAUUAACUUAACAGUGGAGGCUGAAAUUUGUAUAUCUUUUACUCAAGUAGAGUUUGAAUUUGUACAACAGGAAGUAGUAGUAAAAGAAAGCAGUACUAAUAAAAAAAUUUCAACUGAGUACCCUCCGAACGAAGUUGCCACUACUACACAUAUAUCGAAUGUAAACAUCUUUGAUGAAGAGUUUGUUCCGUUAGCAGAAAAUGAAGAAUUUAUAAAAAGUAGACAUCACAGUAGUACUAGCGCUAAAAAUGUUACGUCUAUUAUACACAAAUCGAAUAGAUAUGCUAUCAAUGAUAUUAUCGAAGCGGAUAUUAAUUUUCACUAUGUGUUGGUAAAUGAAAUAAAGGUUUGUUUAUUGAAGAUUAAAAAUAUUGGGAAGGUUAACAUUUUAUAUAAAAUCGAGUUGGCUGAUGGGAGUAUUUGCAACCCUAGUGGUAGUAGUAAUAAAAACAAUGACAACGAUUUUUUAAAUUUCCUAAGCGUUGAUCAUAUAAAUGCAAGUAUCGAUUCUGGAAAAAGUAAACAUAUAAAAUUAAAAGUAAAAUCAUACAAAAAAAUAAAAUUCCAAAACGUGCCUUUAUUUGUACACAUUUAUGACGUAGAAAAUAACCCCAUUCAAUCGUAUAAAUAUUUGCUUAGUGUAUUCUUUGAUUAUAAUUCUUUUAAGAUUAUUCCAGCAGUACUUAAUUUUGAUUCAGUAGAAGUACAAAAAGAGGUAUGUAAAUAUUUUCAGAUAAUUAAUGAUGGUCCAUUUGAUUUUGAAUAUGAAAUAAAUUUAUUAAAAAGUAAGAUAAAAAAUAAAGACAAUGAUACAAAGUUAACAACAUUGGAAUAUAAAAAUGUUCAAGCAGAGACAAUAGAAAAAAAAAGUUAUAAUGAAAAAAACGACAUACAAGAAAAAACUCCAUUUAUUAUUUUUCCUAUUAAAGGUUUUAUAAAAUCGAAACAAGAACAAACUAUAAGUGUUUCUUUUAAUUCUUAUGAAGAAAAAUUAUACAAAUAUAUUUAUUUAAUUCGGGUAAAUGAUAUUGCAACUGAUAGAAAAAGAAAUGUGAAAGAAACAAUUAUGUAUCGAAAUGAUAACACAUAUGAAAAACAUAAUGAAAUAAUUAAAAUAGUUGCAUCAUCAGUAAAACCUAGUAUAUCAUAUGAUAUUAAAAACAUAUUUGAAGAAAUAGUACUUGUAAAUAAAUUACAAAAUUAUAGUAGCAUAUUAGACCAAUUUUUAAACAGUAAUAGUUAUUAUAAUGAAGAUAACAAAACAUUAUAUUAUAGAUAUUGUUACGUAAAUCAAUAUGUUAAUGAAAGAAUAAAAAUUUCGAAUACAUCUGAUGUGAAUACAAAUGUUGAAAUAGAAAUAAAAGGAAUUGGUUUGGUAAAUUAUGAAAAGGACAGAAGAGUAACAAAUGGAAAAGGUGUAAAUGAAAAAAGUGUGAAUGAAAAAAGUGUGAAUGAAAAAAGUGUGAAUGAAAAAAGUGUGAAUGAAAAAAGUGUGAAUGAAAAAAGUGUGAAUAAAAAAAAAGUGAAAAGUAAAAAGUCAGAAUCGGGAAGCAGUAAAAAAAUAGCUAGCACUGUAAAUAAAGAAGAACAAACUGAUAAUAAAAUCAAAAACGAUAGUUUAGAUCGGGGCGAUUUAUUUAUUGAAUGUAACGUUAGGGUUCAAAAUUGUAAUGAAGUUAAAUCGGAAUGGAAUAUGAAAGAUGAUAGCACAAGAGGGAAUAGCACAGUAUGUUGCCAUAGCAGCGGAAAAAACAGCGGCAAUAACAAGGGUGAUACUACCAAUAGUGGUUUCACCAAAGUUAAAACCAUGCUAACUCGAUACGAACACAAAUAUGUAGAUAUUUGUUUUUUUUCUCGUCAAAUAGGAAGUAGCAUAUUUUUAGUAAACGUAUAUCUUGUUAGACAAACUACUGAAUUAUGUUUUUCUUUUUAUAUAAACGUAAAUUUUUUUUUACCUGCUAUUAAUAUGAUUUUACCGCAUAGUUUGAUGGAAACUCGUGAAAACCAGGUCUUCAAUUUAGGAAGUAUUCACUUAAAUAGUGAAAUUUCAUUUAAAAUAAAAUUAAAAAAUUGUUUUAAAUUCCCUGUUUCAGUUAAGGUUCUUUUUGAGCAGUUAGUUACAAAAUUAGUUGGUAUGCAGAGUUCUACAAAAAUAAAUAAGUUUAGUAACAAGGAGAAGCUGAGUGUAAAAGAGGAUGCAACACAAGUUUUAAAACAUAUUGAUAAUGAUGGAAAAAAUGUUAGUGAUAGGAAACAUGAUGUUGAUAAGUGUUUAAACCAAAGGGAUGAAUCUAGUGAAAAUAUAGGGAACGAAUUAAACGAGAAUAUCAACAAUGGUAGUGUAGCCGAUGGUGUUGGUAAAAGUAUAGGUGACAAUACCACUAUAAAUAAUGACAGUAACGAAAAUAUAAGACUCGGAACUGCUGUCGAAGACAAAAAAAAAUUAUAUGCUUUGAAUAGUAAAUUGUUUUUUUUUAAUAAUAAUAAAGCAGAUAAAAUAAUAUUAAGUAAAAAAAAUAAGAUUACCUAUUUUGAAUAUAAAAAUAAUAAGAAUGUUAUGUACAAAAAAGAAAAGAAAAGAAAAGAAAUAUUUCAUGCAGGUAUCUUUAACUACAUUGGCAAUAGUAGUUACAUGUUAAAUGAAAAUGAUGUAGCUUGGUUUAAAAUAAAUAUUAACAAACAAAAAUUAGAAAAGGAAAUAAUAAAAAGAAAACAGUUUUUAUUACAAACAGUAGAAAAUAGUGCGGAUGCGGUUGAUGACUAUAAGUCAGAGAAAAUUAAAAGCCAAAGUGAUGUUUCUGAAGAAUUAAUCGGUAACACUUGUACUUCUGAAAUAGUUAGUGAAAAAGGUAUAAACCAAUAUGGUGAUAGUGGUGAUAAUAAAACCGAUUGCGAAAAUGAAUUAGACAGCAAUAAGAAGAAGAAGAAUAAAAAGGAAGAUAAAAAAAAAAAAAAAAAGAAGAAGAAGAAGAAUAAAAAGGAAGUAAUAAAAACUGGAGGUAUAGAAGGAGAUGAAACGAGUGGUGCUGAUGAUGUGGGUAAGAAAAAUACGAUAAUAGGUCCAUACAAAAGUUUUAAAACUCUUUCUUUAGAACAAGACAAACAAGAACUGCUUGGAAGAAUAGGUAUUAACGUAAUAAAUAAUAAAUACGAAUUUGUAGAUUUACAAUUUGUAGGUAACAUAAUAGAAUGUACAAAUUACUGGAACUUCGAACCACUGAAACGUGAAAUGAGAAAACUUGUAUGUAAAAAUGAUAAUGCAUAUAUUUAUAAGAAUCAUAUAAAUUUUGAUUUAUUACCAUUAAAUUAUAAUAAUAUAUUUAAAGUUUGUUAUACUAAUGAAAAUGACUAUCCUUUAUAUUUUAAUAUCGAAAUAGAUAAGAAGUUAAAAAGUUUUUUAAAAAUAAGCUCUUUGAAUGGGUGCAUACCACCAAAUAGUUCUUUUCUUUUUUUUCUUCACAUGGAUAUAAAAGAGAUUUUAAAUUUGGUAAAAAAACCAAUAGUAUGCAAAUUCUCUACAAACGAUUUGAAUAUAAAACAAAAUACCAAAAUAAAAGAACACGAUGAAGAACAUAUUUAUGAAGAUUCGUUAUAUGUAAGUAUAAUGUCAGAAGAAAUCAAAAUUUUUUAUGAUAAAAAAAAACUGCUUUUUCAAAAUAUUCCUUUUCUGAAUUAUGCACAAAAUGAUUUAUUGAUAGAAAAUUUAUCUAAUCUAAAAUUAGUAGUAGAAUUGAGUAUAAUACCUAUAAAUGAAAAAGAAGAUAUAACAUCUGUUUAUUCAUUUUGUCCUUUUAAAAAAAAAAAUAUUAUUUCAUUAGUAAAGCAAAAUGGAAUAAAUAUGCUAUUGAAGGGGGAGAGAGUGGUGAAGAUAGCGAAUAUGUUCGACUCAUCAUGUUUGACAGAUGAUGUGGGUAAUGGUGGUGGUCCCCCUAUCGAUUGUGUUACAAGCGAUGACCAUGUAAAUAAUAUUUGUAACACUCCUGAAGUUACAAACAAUAAUAUUCAUACAGGUUAUACCCCAUUCAGUGUGACAAAAAGUGGUAAGUAUGAUUCAAGUAAACAUAAUGAUGCUAACAAAAAUAGUUCCACUGUUGCAGGUUCUAUUAAAACAGUAGAAGGUGAUUUUGAUAGAACUAAUCACAAUUUGGAUAAUGUUGAUUUUAGCCAAAAGGAUUAUAAAAAGAGUGAAACUAAUUAUAAUAAAACAGGCCCAUGUAGUAUGGUAAAAAGUAAAAAGAGUGAAAAUGUUAUUAAAAAGUAUGUAACUAUGAAUGGAAAAAGUACAAAACGGUUACAUAUAUAUUGUUUACAUUAUUUAUUAAAAAAGUCAAUUGAAGCAAUGUUAGUAAUAAAAAUACAAUUUUACAAUGAUAUAAAUAUACCAUUGAAAAUGGAAUUUGAAAAUUAUGAGCAAAAUGAUACUGUAUCUUUAUUAACUGAUUUUGAAUAUAAAAAAGGACGUGUACAAAAUCAGAAUAUAAUUAAUAUAUUAAGUAGAGGAGUAUUAAAUAAGAUAAGACAUGAACUAUUUUUAUUAAACAUGUCUAAUAAAGAAUUGGAGUAUUUUUUUAAAAGAGUUAAUGAAUUAGAUUGUGCAAAUAGUGAUAAUGGUACAUAUAUGGUGGGUGAAAAUGGAGGUUUACCUAGUAACAUAAGUAGUAACAUAAGUGGUAACAUAAGUGGUAACAUAAGUGGUAACAUAAGUGGUAACAUAAGUGGUAACAUAAGUGGUAACAUAAGUGGUAACAUAAGUNNNNNNNNNNGUAACAUAAGUGGUAACAUAAGUGGUAACAUAAGUGGUAACAUAAGUAGUAACAUAAGUAGUAACAUAAGUAGUAACAUAAGUAGUAACACUAUAGAAUGCGUGAAUGAUAAAGGGAAUAUAAAAGAAAACAGUGUUUUACCAAUUACAUUUUUAUCUAAUAGUUAUAACUUGUUAAAUUAUAAAACUAAGUAUAUUUUGUAUAUAGAUAAUAAACAAAAUAGACAAAUUGAAUUUGACUUAAAUCCAAUUCAACCGUUAGUGUUUUUUAAUACUUCUUGUAUAUAUAUAGAUAAUUUAUUACUAGGGAAAAGUUAUUGUUUUGUUUUUUAUAUAAUAAACUUUGAUUUUAUUGACCAUAACUUUGAAUUUGAUAAAAACUCGUAUAGCUCGUUCAAUAAUCAAAAAGAAACAAUUAAAAUAUUACCGUCGAAGGGGACUGUAAAGUGUUGUUAUAAAUGGGAAAAACGUAAUGAGCACGGUACGCUUGGCGCGAUUGAUACGCUUGGCACAAUUGGCACGACUGGAACGAUUGGCACGACUGGAACGAUUGGCACGACUGGAACGAUUGGCACGACUGGAACGAUUGGCACGACUGGAACGCCUGGUACAUAUGCUAAGAAUUUUCAAAGUGAGUCAAGUUUAACAAAAAAUGACGAAAAUAACAGAAGAAGCGAAUUAACAAGUCUCCGUUCCGCAGACUCGGACUGCAUAAUUGGCGUUUUAAGUAGUGGAUUUAGUAGUAGAUUUGGUAGUAGAUUUGGUAGUGAAGUUAGUAGUGGAGUUAAAAGUGGCCCUAACAUUAAUAGUACUAAAAGUAUUGUCAGCAGCAAAUAUAUAAAAAAGUUUAAGAUUAAUUAUUUAUCGGGUAGUAGUUUAAAAAGUAGUAAGCUAUAUAGUAACUAUAGUGCCGCUGGUAGUGAUAGCUGUUUCGACUCACUCCAGAAUACGUCGCAAAACAUAUAUGUUGCUUCUUCCUAUUCCUAUUCCUAUUCCUCCUCCUCGGAUGCAAAGUCGAACGAGAGAGAAAAAGAGCAUGAGUCAGGGAUUGACAAUAAAGCGGAAAUUUUAUUGCCAGCUCGCAACAAUACCCUUGUAGAUAAAUGGGAAUACAUAAACACAUCGUGCGAAUCUGAUAGCACAUCAUCAUUGUGGUCGUUAGAAAAUAUCAACGAAAAUGAUGAUUACGACAUGAACUGUACAUAUAAAUUUUAUCUUGUUAAUUAUUAUUUACAACAUUUAGGCAAAACAAAUGAUGAACAGCUUAAAAAAGAAAUGAAAAAAGUGCUUGGUAAAGGACUAGGUAAAAAAGUCAAAAUAUUAUUUAAGCCGCAUUUAGAGCAAUUUUAUAAUUUUAAUUUGUUAUGCAAUAUUGAUAAAAAAAAAGAGCCAUUAAAAUUAAAUUUAAAAGCUCAAGUUGGAAAGCUUAAUAUACAAUGUUACAUUAAAAGCUUUAACAAUGAAAAAACUUUUUUGGAAUUAAAAAAUGUAAAACACAAUAAAAAAGGGAAAAAUAAGACACAAAAGAAAAAUAAUGAAAAAGACGACUUGAUCCAUGUACAUUAUACAUUAGAUUUUAAAGAAACGCUAGUAGGGCACAAAAAAAUAUCAAAUAUUAUCAUAGACAAUUUCUGUGAUUUUGAUCUAUUUUAUAAAUAUUAUAUACACAAAAAAGAUAAAGAUAUAACCAUUCAAUGUGAUAAUGAUUAUAUUAUUAAGAAUUCAUCUUUUUCUAUUGCUGUUCAAUAUAUACCAUCAAAAAAUAGAACUUAUGUAAAUUACCUAUUACUUAAUAUAAGAGAUUAUUAUUUAAUACACUUUAAAAUUACUGCAAUUGCUACUAAUUUUAUGCUUAAUUUUACAUUUUACAAUUAUGAUUUUGGUAAUGUUAUUUUAUUUCCUAUUAUAGAUAAAAAAAAUAUUAAGGUAAAAAAUAUGUGUGUUUAUUCAAAGCAAUAUGUGAACGAAGAAGAGUUUUCUUCCACAGAUGAUGAUAGUUCUUUAUCAUCUUUGAUACAUAAGUAUAAAAUGAACGAAAAAAGAAAGAAAGAUGAGAUAGCAGAAGAGAGAAAGAAAACAGGGAUAGAAAAGAAGAGAACACAAGGAGAUGGAGAAAUAAAUAAAGAGAAAAAGUUGAAUACUACGUCAAAGCAGAGUGAGACAAAAGGCACAAAUGGUGCGCUUAACUUGGGUAAAAAAGGAGAAACACAUACGGAGGAACUUGCGGGAAAUUACCCAGGGAAGCACUCGGGAGAACAAACAAUGGCAUAUACAAGCGAAAAAUCAGAUGAAGGAAGACAAAAAAGAGAAAGACACAAAAGUAAAGGAAAUGGCAAUUCUUCAGAUGGGGUGACGGAAGCGACCGUGACGAAAAAUGAGACCGGUGAUGAAGAAAAACAUAGCAAAAAAAAAAAAAAAAAAAACAAAAGAGAGAAAAGGGAAAAAAAAGAGAAAGACGAGGAAAAAGGGAAAGACGAGAAAAAAGGGAAAGACGAGAAAAAAGAGAAAAGGGAGAAAAAGGAGAAAAGGGAGAAAAAGGAGAAAGAUGAGGAAUACGAAAAAAAAGAAAAAAGGGAGAAGAAGGAGAAAAAAGAGAAAAGGGAGAAAAAAGAGAAAAGGGAGAAAAAAGAGGGCACAAGUGACAGUAGUUGCAAAAUCGAUAAACACGACAAAAACGACCAAUUAGAUAAGGACCAAACACACGAUAUUAACGAAACGGAAGCGAGAAAAAGUAACAUACACGAUAAAAAGAUAAAACAAACAAAAAAGCAUAAUAAAAUGCUACAUUUUGGUAAUGUUUUAACGAAAAAUAUAAGCAAAGAAAAUGAUAGAGGUGAACAUAGCGAUGCAGAUAUAUUGUCUGUAGAAGAAGAUAUAAAUAGUGCUCAGACUAAACUUGUGAUUACUAAUAAUAAUUACGAAGAUUGUUUUGUCGAUUAUACCAUUAGCGACUGUUGUUUUGAAAUUUCAAAUGUAAGCGGUGAAAGAAUAUAUAUACAAAAACGAAAUGAAGUUUGUGUUUUUAUUAAAUUCAAACCAACAGAAGAAAAAAAAUAUAAAUGUAAAAUUUUAUUUAAAAUAAAUAAUGACAUGACAAAAGUGAUACCUAUCAAUUUGAAAGGCUCUUGUAACAAAUUUAAAUUACCUUUUUCAUGUGCUAAUAACUCUAACGGAAUAGUAUUUAAAGAUGUGCAUGUAGACAAAGAAAGCAUAAAUAAAUUUACUGUUAUGAACAAAAACAUGGAAGAUAUAACCUUUAAUGUAUUAAAUUACAAACAUUUAACUAAAAAUUAUCUAACGUUUGUUAAUUUUGAUAAUACCAUUUUGCAUCAUUUAAAAAAAAAAGAAAAGAAAACAUAUGAAAUAAAAUUUGUACCUCCUAAAUAUGUAAAUGUACAUAUACCAUUAUAUUUUAAUGUAUAUUAUAAAAACAUGAGCAUACCUUAUUAUUUAACAAAUAUUAUAGUGAAUAGUAUUUGUUAUAAAGUAGUAUUAAACACGUGUUUAUUGUCGUUUUAUAAGGUAGAAAAAAAACAAGAUACAGUGACAUGUGAAAGUAUAAAAGAUGGGAGUAGUAAAGCUAUUAUCACAGGUGGUGAAACUGUAAAAGAGUCUGAUAAAACUGCCAAAGAAUUUGAAGAGAUAAAAAAGAAAAUCCCUAAAUUAUCUAAUCAUAAAGACUACAUAAGAAGCAAUAAAAUUCAAUUACAUAAUACAGGUGACAUGAAUGCUCAGUUUUGUAUUAAUUAUCCAUUAAGAUAUGAAGAUUUUUUAUUUGUGUAUCCUAAAAAAGGAAUUAUUUUUUCAUUUAAUCUGAUUAACAUUUAUGUUUUUAUUGAUACCAAAUUUAUUACUAAAGAUGUUUAUAUUAAAGAUGUAUGUGUUGAAUUGUUUCCAAAAUUUGCUAAAAUUAACAGCAAGCUGUUUUUUCAAAUAUAUGUUAAUUCAGGAAAUACUACUGCUUUAGCAAAGAAUAAAAUGAUAUCUAUAAAUAAUGAAAAAAAAAAAAUAAACACAUUGAAAAGUGUUGAGCAACAGCAGGCAGAACAAUCUUUUUUUGGUGACAAUGAUGCUUAUAAUGGUGGUAAUAAUGAUAAGUUAACAAACGAGUUCCCUACUGAUAAAGCAAAACAAAAUGACAACAACAUCAGAAAUGACCAAACUACAGAAAAUAUAGAUAGUAACGAAAAGAAUAUUAACAUUUUUCCUCUUAAAAAUCAAACUAUUAUUUCCUUUGAAACUAAUAUACGAAAACAAAUAAGUAAAAACAUAAAAAUAGUAAACGAAACUGAAUCUAAUUAUAAAAUAAAAUAUAAAUUUGUAUCAAAUGAUAAUAAUUUUUUUUCUGUUAUGAAAUAUGAAGGUAUAAUUGAACCAAACGAACUUGGUACAUUUCAGAUUAUUUAUAAUCCUACAUUUAUUCAAAAAAAUAAAAAACAAAAUAAUUAUCAUAAUACUUUAUGUAUGAAAUAUUUAAAAUAUUGUUCCAAAAUUCAUCAUAUAUCCAAGUUACUUGUUUAUUAUCCAAAUGAUGUAGUCAAAAAUUAUAUUUUGCUAGGUUACGCAAAUAACGAAACAUAUGAAAAAAAAAGUAGUUUUUAUUUUAAAACGAAAAUUUUGGAAAGUUCUUCAAUUAGUAUUAAAAAUUGGUUGAAUGAGAGUCAAGAGUUAUGUGUUUCUUAUUAUGGGUGCGACAAAAACUUGGAAAGGAUCGACUAUGGCCAUUUCUUUUUUUACAUACAAACCAAUGUUAAGAUAAGCAACAAUGAAGAGAAAAACGUGCCGUUCAAAACCUUUUCAUUAAAAGAAGGAACCUACUAUAUUAUGGUACUUUUUUCUAAUGAAAAACAUGAGGAUUUGUAUAAAGUAUUAUUACAAUUUGAUAUGAAAGAAAUUGAUUAUUUAUUUAUUAAAAAUGUAAAAGGAAAUAAAAAAGAAAUAAUAAAAGAAAGUGUUUGCAUUUAUAAUCCAUUAAAUGAAAAUGUCAAAAUAGAUACUGUUUGUGAUUAUAAAUAUAUAUUUUUUGAUAAAUCUAUAAUAUUAGAAAAAAAAAAAAAUAAUAUUAUUAACAUUUACUUUUGUAUAAUUAAAAAUGAAGUUGAUAAAAAUAUUAUUAUUUCAUUUACAAAUAAAAAAUUAGGAAAAUAUAGUUUUAAAUUUAUUUUAAAUGUUAAUUUUGUUGAUUUAGAAGAAAAAUUUUAUUUUAAUACUGAUUUGGGAUCAUCUCAAAUUAAUGAAAUUUCUUUUACAAAUGUAUGUAAUCAAAAAAUUAAUUAUGAUGUAGUUAUUGAAAAUUAUGAUGAAAACAAUAAAAGUUCUGUAGACAUAUUUGAAUAUGUUGAUAAAACAAUACAUGCUAAAUCGAUAGAUACUGAUUUUUUUUUAAAAAACCAAAAAAUAAACAAUCUAUCAGACAAAAUUAGCUUAACCAUUAAAUACAACCCAGCCAAUAUUAAAACAGACAAGGCUAUUUUGAAGCUUGUAUCGAAAGAAGGCAUCAUACAUAAGGGAUUACUAAUAGGAAAAAGUGUAGCGCCGAAACCUAAGGGACCCAUAUUUUGUUCUUCUCAAAAAACUACUUUUAUUUCUUUUACAAAUCCGUUUUUUAAGUUGAAGCAGUUUUUUAUAGAAACGGAUGAACACUUUUCUGUUCCUUUUGAGAAAGUAAAAAUCGAAGCAAGACAGACAGUUCAAAUACAUAUUAAGUGCAAAACUACAAGUGUCGUAUCAGGUGAGUUUACAUGCACGAAUCUUCUAACUUAAUAAAUUAAUGUUGCAUAAGUAGGUUAUGUUAUAUACUCAUGUGAAAUAAUAAGUAUAUAUAUAUUUAUAUAUGUAUGUGUGAUCGUUUUUUUUUUUUUUUUAUUUUUACUUUUAUAUAAUUUUUUUAGGAAAACUUUUAAUAAAGUCGGAGGAAAAUAUCGUAUGGAUGUACUA